CUUCUUCUACAGGAUGGUUCAGAAGAACAUCACAAUGUCCCACAGGAUGAUAAGCUUGUGAAUCCGGGUGAAGAUCUGAACAAUAUUAAUUCUACAGAGACAUAUUUGAGGGGUGAUAAGCAGAGUAUAGAGUACAUUCCUACAGAUAACCGCCCAGAUGACUGUACCAGGAACUCAGAGAAACAUCUGAUAUCUUUAGAUUUUGAAGUAGAUGAUUGUGGUAUCACACAAGUUACAUUUGAAGAGCAUGCCAAUAUCCAAGAUAUACCUUCAUCCAAUCACGGCAACAAUGCAUCAUUUGAUCCUUUUAAACAGGUCCGAUCUUCUGAUUCAUCACAGACUGAAACAAAGAAUAAAAGUCACAAAAAAGGUGUUAAAC